AUAUUCCUGUACCACCUCGUAUUCGUUUGAACGAUGGGGGGACGCAGAAAGGUAGGGUGAGCGCGCCGCUGGCUGUGCGCGUCGAAGCAUGCAAGGCUGGAACAUAGGCAAAUCCGUGUUCCGUAAGGCUGAGCUGUGACCGUGAAGGACCUUCGGGUCCGAAAUCCCUGAUCCUCCGCUGCCGAGAAAAGCCUCUAGUGAGAAUACAGGUGCCCGUACCGCAAACCGACACAGGUAGGCGAGAAGAGAAUUCUAAGACGCUCGGGAGAACUCUCGUUAAGGAACUCGGCAAAAUGACCCCGUAACUUCGGGAGAAGGGGUGCUCUAGUAGGGUUAACCGCCCGAGAGAGCCGCAGUGAAAGGAUCCAAGCGACUGUUUAGCAAAAACACAGGUCUCUGCGAAGCCGUAAGGCGAAGUAUAGGGGCUGACACCUGCCCGGUGCUGGAAGGUUAAGAGGAAGGGUCAUCCCUUGCGGGAGAAGCUCUGAAUUGAAGCCCCAGUAAACGGCGGCCGUAACUAUAACGGUCCUAAGGUAGCGAAAUUCCUUGUCGGGUAAGUUCCGACCCGCACGAAUGGUGCAACGACUUGGAUACUGUCUCAAC
rnacentral:rRNA from 2 species